rnacentral:rRNA from 1 species
AGUGAACGCUGGCGGUAGGCCUAACACAUGCAAGUCGAACGGCAGCACAGGAGAGCUUGCUCUCUGGGUGGCGAGUGGCGGACGGGUGAGGAAUACAUCGGAAUCUACUUUUUCGUGGGGGAUAACGUAGGGAAACUUACGCUAAUACCGCAUACGACCUACGGGUGAAAGCAGGGGACCUUCGGGCCUUGCGCGAUUGAAUGAGCCGAUGUCGGAUUAGCUAGUUGGCGGGGUAAAGGCCCACCAAGGCGACGAGCCGUAGCUGGUCUGAGAGGAUGAUCAGCCAAACUGGAACUGAGACACGGUCCAGACUCCUACGGGAGGCAGCAGUGGGGAAUAUUGGACAAUGGGCGCAAGCCUGAUCCAGCCAUACCGCGUGGGUGAAGAAGGCCUUCGGGUUGUAAAGCCCUUUUGUUGGGAAAGAAAUCCAGCCGGCUAAUACCUGGUUGGGAUGACGGUACCCAAAGAAUAAGCACCGGCUAACUUCGUGCCAGCCGCCGCCGUAAGAC